rnacentral:lncRNA from 1 species
CAGAGGUGAGUGAUGCUGGCGUAGACCGGUGGGUCAGCUACAGCGCUCGGGUCUCCGGACCCACUGGGAGCGCGGACCCCUAUUUGAGCAGAAAAAGAAAGGGCGGCGAAGUCUGGGGGGGUGGUGGGGAGAAAUGGAGGGAGCCAAGGGCCAGUCAGUCACAUAUUCAGAUACGGGCCUCCGUCACCAAGUACACAGCUUCCCUCACUGCUACUAAAGAUGCCCCAUUCACCUUAGAGUUUGAGGGCCCAUAUAGUACCCACUAGAACCCUAGGGUACUAUUAGGACAAAUAGGAUAAUAACCGCAUUAUACCAAAAGGACCCAGAUCCCAAAUCCCCUGGAAGGGACACUUUGCCCUCGGCGGGUUCCCCUUCUCCCCCGCCCAUUUCGAAGAAUUGGGUUUUCCUCUGGGAUCCAGUCUGGCGCCCCUCGGGACUUCCUGCCUUUGCCAGGCUGCCCCAGCGCAAGCUUCUCUGGCCUGAGCCAUCCCUCAGUCCUAGCCCCACCUGUCUCCUCUGGCUCUUCCCUCCCCUCCUCGAGUCGCUCCAAGCCAGACGAGGACUCACUUCUGCUGCUGGCAGCCAGGGGACACACCUGGCUGCUGACCUCAGGACACCCAGGGCUGGUCCAAGGAGACGCACCUCCCGGGGGCACAGAAUCCCACCCCCCGGUAGCCCUGACCCUCCAGCUCCCGCGCCUCGCAGCCCUACCGCAUCCCGUGUCUAAAGGGCGGGGCCGGGCCGUUGGGUCGCCCCUCCCACUCUCCAUUCCUUUUCUCCCUCGGAAACCACCGAGCACAAAGGCAGCAUUGAUUCUUUGCCACCCCCAGAGCGGUCUCUGGAAGGCUCCGCCACCACGCGCUCGCCUCACCCCUGCGCAGAGCCACCGAGAGCACCGUGUUCCGACCCUCUGCCCAGGGAUCCGAGCUCGCGACCCUCUCCGUCGCGCGCCCGGAGUGCUCGCCUCACCUGUGGGUCGCCUCUGGGUUCUGGCCUCAGGCCCUGACACUUUCAGAGCCAGAGGGGAGCAGCUUUCUCUGCAGCUUGCUCCCCCAGCGCAGUCCUUCUGGGAGGAGCUGGCAGGGGCCUCCGCUGCCUACGUCCUACCUCUUUUCCUGAAUAAACACAGCUCUGUCUGCGCGGCCAUCAGCCGGGCCUUCUGACUUCCUCCAGCUGAAGCCAGGUUUCUAGCAACAAUCCAUUCCUGUGCCCAGGCCUCCUGUGCUGAAGUUGGGCUGCUUAGGAGUGGGGGAGGGCUACAGAGAAGAGGGAGACGGCCAUCAG